ACCCCGGGAAGCCUUCAGGUCACCUUGAAACCAGAGGGCAUCAUCCUGCACUCACUCUCCAGGCUCGGAGUCAGCCUCCCUGGGACAAGUCACUUUCAGAUGCCUUUCUUCCCGGGUAGUAUUUUGGACCCUCUCCGGCCUCUCCCGGGGACGUCUGAACUAGCAGUUUGCCUGGACUAAAAGGCAGCGUCAAGAGCCCCUCCCUCAUCAAGUCAAAGAAAAGAAUGUGAGGCUACACCAAGGGCCAGGAGCCCCCGGCUCAUCACUUCCCAUCCGAGAGGCUGAGCAGACUGCAAAGAGUACGAUCCUGGAGUGAUAACCCGGCAAGUUUCCAGAGCAGAGGUCUUGAAACUGGAUGACUCUCGGUACCUGCUGACCGAAGAUGGUCUGACAAGAAUCCAUACACAUUCGGGAAGGGGCACCGCCCCACCCCGCUCUUGCACAGACAAGAGAUUAUGAAAUAAAACAAAACUAAUUAUUA